rnacentral:tRNA from 1 species
GGGGCGGUGGCGAAAUGGUAGACGCAGCAGACUUAAAAUCUGCCGGACGUCAGUCCGUGUGGGUUCGAAUCCCACCCGCCCUAC